rnacentral:lncRNA from 1 species
CUGAAGUAGCCCUCCUAGGCUAGCUUGAGCAUGGUGUAAAUCGUAAUUAUGUUUGUGUAUUACAGAUGUGCAAACAAGAGGACAGAAGUGCUGAAGGCAGGGCAGGAUGUAAUUUUCUGUUGUAACUUCGGAGAUGUCAAAAGGCAGAUGCAUUUUCAGACAGCAGAGUUGACUAUUUUUAUUUUCAACAGGGCUCUAUAAGAAAAACUGAAGAUGACAGAAAGAAAUGAGUAUAAUAUUUUAAGGCCACAGAACACUUAAAAGAUUGGUUAUGUCACACUGUGAUGAUCUAGAUUAAAAGGGAAAGAAUAAGAAUUACCUUUUAGACAUAUUCACUAAGAACUUUCCAUAUAGUCUUUUGUCUCUGUACAUAGCAGCAAGAAUCAAAACAUUUUUGAACUUAUAUUUUCACAAUGAACUG